GCGGAUAUGGCGGAAUUGGCAGACGCGCCAGAUUUAGGUUCUGGUGCCGCAAGGCGUGCAGGUUCAACUCCUGUUAUCCGCA
rnacentral:tRNA from 1 species